AACGAACGCUGGCGGCAUGCCUAACACAUGCAAGUCGAACGAAGUCUUCGGACUUAGUGGCGCACGGGUGCGUAACGCGUGGGAAUCUGCCCUUGGGUACGGAAUAACUCAGAGAAAUUUGUGCUAAUACCGUAUAAUGACUUCGGUCCAAAGAUUUAUCGCCCAAGGAUGAGCCCGCGUGAGAUUAGCUAGUUGGUGAGGUAAAAGCUCACCAAGGCGACGAUCUCUAGCUGGUCUGAGAGGAUGAUCAGCCACACUGGGACUGAGACACGGCCCAGACUCCUACGGGAGGCAGCAGUGGGGAAUAUUGGACAAUGGGCGAAAGACCUGAUCCAGCAAUGCGCGUGAGUGAUGAAGGCCCUAAGGGUUGUUAAAAGG
rnacentral:rRNA from 1 species